UACGUAGGAGACGAGCGUUGUCCGGAAUUACUGGGCGUAAAGCGCGUGUAGGCGGAUGGGCAAGUCUGCUGUGAAAGCUCCUGGCUUAACCGGGAGUGGUCGGUGGAAACUGCCAAUCUGGAGGACGGUAGAGGUAGGUAGAAUUCCCGGUGUAGUGGUGAAAUGCGUAGAGAUCGGGAGGAAUACCUGUGGCGAAGGCGGCCUACUGGGCCGGACCUGACGCUGAGGCGCGAAAGCUAGGGGAGCGAACAGG
rnacentral:rRNA from 1 species